rnacentral:rRNA from 1 species
UGUUCCUACGGGGGGCAGCAGUGGGGGAUAUUGCACAAUGGGGGGAACCCUGAUGCAGCGACGCCGCGUGAACGAAGAAAUAUUUCGGUAUGUAAAGUUCUAUCAGCAGGGAAGAAAAUGACAGUACCUGACCAAGAAGCCCCGGCUAACUACGUGCCAGCAGCCGCGGUAAUACGUAGGAUGCGAGCGUUAUCCGGAUUUAUUGGGUUUAAAGGGUGCGCAGGCGGAAGAUCAAGUCAGCGGUAAAAUUGAGAGGCUCAACCUCUUCGAGCCGUUGAAACUGGUUUUCUUGAGUGAGCGAGAAG